rnacentral:lncRNA from 1 species
UUUUUUUUUUUUUUUUUUUGGGUUUUCGAGACAGGGUUUCUCUGUGUAGCCCUGGCUGUCCUGGCACUCACUUUGUAGACCAGGCUGGCCUCGAACUCAGAAAUUCGCCUGCCUUUGCCUCCCGAGUGCUAGGAUUAAAGGCGCGUGCCACCACGCCCGGCUCUGUACUUGUUUUAAACAUUUUUCUUAAUAAUUAUUUAUUUCGGGGAGAGGGGGAAGCACACAAGUCACAAGGUACAAGUGGAGGUCUAAGGACAACUUGUGGUGGUUGAGAGCACUGGCUACUCUUUAAAUAUUUAUUUAUUUAUUUAUUUAUUUAUUUUAUGUAUAUGAAUACAUUGUAGCUGUACAGAUGGUUGUGAGCCUUCAUGUGGUUGCUUGGAAUUGAAUUUUAGGACCUCUGCUCGUUCCGGUUGGCCCUGCUUGCUCUGGCCCAAAGAUUUAUUUUUCAUUAUUAUACAUAAAUACACUGUAGCUGUCUUCAGAUGCACCAGAAGAGGGUGAUCAGAUCUCAUUACGGGUGUUGUGAGCCACCAUGUGGUUGCUGGGAUUCGAACUCAGGACCUUUGGGAGAGCAGACGGUGCUCUUACCCGCUGAGCCAUCUCGCCAGCCCGGCUACUCUUUCAGAGGGCCUAGGUUCAGUUCCCAGCGCCUACAUGGCAAACUACAAGCAUCGCUUAAUGGCUGUCCCAAAUCCUUUUAUGGGCAUUGUGUUCCCAUGGUACACAGACAUACAUAUAAAUACAGGCAAAACACACAUGGAGUAAAAAAAAAAAUUUUUUUUAAAAGAACAAACAACCUGUGGAAGUAAUUUCUCUCCUUGCCCCUGUUGGUCCCAGGGAUCAAACUCAGGUUAUCAGACUUGGCAGCAAGCACCUUUCUGUGUUGAGCCAUCUCACCUGCCCCCAGCUCUGUGCUCGGAACACACUUCCAGGCAAGACAGCAGCUGCUGGUCUGUCGACUGGCCAGAUUAUGUAGACCUGCUCAUCAGUUUUCAGCUGUUGAAUUCAGAUCAUCAGAUGCGUGGUGCCUGCAGAAUGCCGGGUCCCCAGGGGUGAAGCCAUUGAGAUUAUACAGAUAGCCAAGAUGCCUGCCCAAUGAAUCGACUCCAGAAAUGUCUGAGAACACAUUAUCUUUCCCAGGCAGGUCCUCCCAGACCUCAUUUGUAAUGUGUGAUUGAGGACAUCUCUCCCUGAUGUUAUCUAGGGACUUAAAGCAGACCUCCUCAGCUGUCCCCAGCUGGCCCUGUGCACCCCAGCCGGGGCACUAUAAGUUUAUCAGGUUAGCCAGAUGACAGGACAAAUAUAAUUUCUGGGCCACAAGGCCAGUCUGGGUGAACGCAUGACAUAAGGUUGUUAAAAAAAGGAGGAGGUUGAAAAUAGACUCCACUCUGGUCAGAUGGUGCCAGGGACUGGCCCAACUAGUGGAAUGCCCCAGCCCUGGAGGACUGAGACAGUGAGGCCCACGUCCCUGGAGAGGGUCCUGCUAAAGCCAGCUUCCUUGAGAAACCAAUUUGGCAGCAACUCUGGUAAACCUCUUGCGGCCAAAGGGAGGAGAAAAAAGGGCUUUAGUGCAGAUACAAGGAUAUUCAGAUGCAGGCUGGCUCCUCAUCAUGUCUUCUCAUCAGUGUAAUGAUUUUGAAAAUUCCAGCAAUGUAUUCAUGCCCCUGCAUGACUUUGAGAAAUGCUCCUGUCUCACCAACGCCACGGGCAAACCACGCUUGAAUGCUGUCAGGAGCCAGGCUCGCUGGCUGGGAGGGUGAGGACGGCCUGGAUUCCUGAGUCAGGCUGCUAGCUAAGCCCGGCAGGGCCUGGAGGGUGGCAACCGUGUGGUUUGCAGGUUAGUUAAUUACUGUGGUGUUUGUAUGGGAAGAUCCUUGGGUGUGUUUGUGGGAACAGAACCCUGAUUUUAAUUACAUCCCUUCUGGUUCUUCAGAUUGCGUGCUUCCCAAAGAUCUUGUUUCUCUGGCUUUCACCUACUCUCUGAUGUGCAGAGGGUUCAACCGGCAAAACAAAACAAAACAGCCAAGCCCAGACUGUGUUUGCACUAAGGAUCAGGAUUUUUAGAGCUGGAAGGGAUGUAGAUGUAGCUAGCCCAGCCCCUUCCGCUUAUAUAAUAGGAGGUUUGGAGAGAUUAAAGCGACCCAUCCAAGGUCACACAGUUUGGAAUUGAAACUCAGGUUUCAGGGCUGGGAUGGGCCUCAGUUGGUACAGUGCUAGCCUAGCACACAGGAAGCUCUGGAUUCCGCCCGCAGCACAGCAUAAACCAAUCAUGGCAUGCCUUCACAGCACUAGAAAGUGGAAACAGGAGGCUCAGGAGUUCAAGGUCAUCUUGGGCGAUAUGGAAAAUUUGAGAAUAAUUUGGCUUACAUAAAGUCUUAUCUAAAAAAAUAAAAAUAGAAGAGGUUGGGAUGGUCGUGGUAGUGCUUACCAUUAACACCAAUACUUAGGAGGCAGAGGCAGGCUGAUCUCUGUGAGUUCAAGGCCAGGCCAGCCAAAGAUACACAGUGAGACCCCAUUUUCUAGCAAAGAGGGUAGCAUGUCGGAGAGAUGGUUUAGUUGCUAAUGUGCUUGUCUUGCAGAUGUGAAGACCCCUGUUCAACCCACAGAACCCAUAUUUUAAAAGCCCAGAGAGAUGGUGUUGUGUGACAAAACUUUUAGUGGGGAGAUGCAACACACGUAUCUUACCUUACUUAACCCUAGAUGGGGGGGCACGGGGGAUCCUGCACAGUGCACAGCCUGCAGUCAGCUCAACAGCUUAGAUAGUGUCCUUUCCAAGUGCCUCAUUGGGUCUAAACCUCUGCCUGACAGCAAUGACUGGUUUCUGCUUUGUCCAGGCAGGUGCUGUGACUCGCUGUCUUUUGCAGCUUUUCUCUGCUGAAAGUCCUGUUUGCAGCUCAGCAUCCUUUAUUUCUGAAGACUCUCAGCUUUUAUUACUUACUUUGGCAGGGCGGGGCCUAGGAAAACUGCUCAGUUUCAGGGACUUCCGAAGCUAUUUCUGAGCUGUUUACCCUUCUGCUUAAAGAGCUUUUGUUCCAGGAUGGAAAGAAACCGUUAGACAACCGUUGGAAAGCAGAAACAGCUUAACAGUCCUUGCUCUGCUCUCACUUGUAGCUUGAUGGGCAAGCUCCAGGUUCAGUGAGAGAUCCUGUCACC